GAACUGCGAUAAGUAAUGUGAAUUGCAGAAUUCAGUGAAUCAUCGAGUCUUUGAACGCACAUUGCGCCCCCUGGCAUUCCGGGGGGCAUGCCUGUCCGAGCGUCAUUGCUGCCCUUCAAGCCCGGUUUGUGUGUUGGGUCGUCGUCCCCUCCGGGGGACGGGCCCGAAAGGCAGCGGCGGCACCGCGUCCGGUCCUCGAGCGUAUGGGGCUUUGUCACCCGCUCGAUAAGGACCGGCCGGGCGCCAGCCGGCGUCUCCAACCUUUUUUUCUCAGGUUGACCUCGGAUCAGGUAGGGAUACCCGCUGAACUUAAGC
rnacentral:misc_RNA from 1 species